rnacentral:rRNA from 1 species
GAUGAACGCUAGCUACAGGCUUAACACAUGCAAGUCGAGGGGUAGCAGGAUCUAGCAAUAGAUUGCUGACGACCGGCGCACGGGUGAGUAACACGUAUCCAAUCUACCUUUUACUCGGGGAUAGCCUUUCGAAAGAAAGAUUAAUACCCGAUGGCAUGUAAUAAUCGCAUGAUUAUUACAUUAAAGAAUUUCGGUAAAAGAUGAGGAUGCGUUCCAUUAGAUUGUUGGUAAGGUAACGGCUUACCAAGUCUUCGAUGGAUAGGGGUUCUGAGAGGAAGGUCCCCCACACUGGAACUGAGACACGGUCCAGACUCCUACGGGAGGCAGCAGUGAGGAAUAUUGGUCAAUGGGCGUAAGCCUGAACCAGCCAAGUAGCGUGAGGGAUGACUGCCCUAUGGGUUGUAAACCUCUUUUAUAGGGGAAUAAAAAGAGGUACGUGUACUUUAUUGUAUGUACCCUAUGAAUAAGCAUCGGCUAACUCCGUGCCAGCCGCCGCCGUAAAAC